GACGAACGCUGGCGGCGUGCUUAACACAUGCAAGUCGAACGGAAAGGCCCUGCUUUUGUGGGGUGCUCGAUUGGCGAACGGGUGAGUAACACGUGAGUAACCUGCCCUUGACUUUGGGAUAACUUCAGGAAACUGGGUCUAAUACACGAUAGGAGCUCCUGCUGCAUGGUGGGGGUUGGAAAGUGUCGGCGGUUGGGGAUGGACUCGCGGCUUAUCAGCUUGUUGGUGGGGUAGUGGCUUACCACGGCUUUGACGGGUAGCCGGCCUGAGAGGGUGACCGGGCACAUUGCUACUGAGAUAGGGCCCAGACUCCUACGGGAGGCAGCAGGCGAGAAUAUUGCACAAUGGGCGGAAGCCUGAUGCAGCAACGCCGCGUGCGGAAAGACGGCCUUCGGGUUGUAAACCGCUUUCGCCUGUGACGAAGAGUGAGUGACGGUAAUGGGUAAAGAAGCAACGGCUAACUACGUG
rnacentral:rRNA from 1 species